GACGAACGCUGGCGGCGGGCUUAACACAUGCAAGUCGAACGGAAAGGUCUGCUUUCGCUUGUGGGGUGCGGGGGCUCGAGAGGCGAACGGGUGAGUAACACGGGAGUGAUCUGGCCCCAACUUGCGUGUAAGCCUGGGAAACUGUGCCUCAUGCCCGCUAGUACUGCAGGGUGGAGCCUGGGGUGGAAAACGUUUCCCUACGUGCGGGGGAUUAGCUCGCGGGCUAUCAGCUUGUUGGUGGGGUAAUGGCCCACCAAGGCGGCGACGGGUAGCCGGCCUGAGAGGGAGGACGCCCACAUUGGGACUGAGACACGGGCCAGACUCCUACGGGAGGCAGCAGUAGGGAAUAUUAGACAAUGGGCGGAAGCCUGACGCAGCGACGCCGCGUGGAGGAUGACGGCCUUCGGGGUUGUAACUCCUUUCUGGCGCGAGGCAGACAGCUGGUUGGACGGGUAGUGAGGGUAGUGGUAGAAGAAGCACCGGCUAACUCCGUG
rnacentral:rRNA from 1 species